rnacentral:lncRNA from 1 species
GCAGAGUGAAGGGCCGGGAACAGUGGAGGGUGCGAGGAAGACAAUGGGGGAGGACCCUGAGGCGGCCUCUGUGAGCCGACAGGAACACGUGGUCGAUCAGAGAGAGACUCUAUUUAAAGUCAUUUCCGCAGUUAAUUGCUUCAUGCUGAUGUAGUUUCUGAAAACUUCACAAGCACACAAAAAUCCUAGAACAUGGUGUCUUUUAGGAGGUUCGUGAACGGAUGGGGAGGACCCUGAAAAGCACUGUGGAAUACAGGUUUCUAGUAACUUCAAAAUCACAUCAUUUGGACUGGGUAAGAAUUGCUGAAACUUUAAUGAAAAGACUGACUGGCUUAUAAAACUGCUAACCCAAAUAGAAUAAAAAUUAAUUGAAUACCGAGGAAAUGCUUCACCAGGUUUGCAUACUUAAUCAGCCUAUACUGAAAUUGUUUAGAUAUACAAUUUGAAUGAACUCCAUGGUCUAAGUCAAAUUACCUGUGAUAACCCAUCAGUUAUC